GAGAGAAAGGUCUGUUUACAGCAGUAGCCCUGGAGGAGAGGAGAGAAAGGUCUGUUUACAGCAGUAGCCCUGGAGGAGGAGAGGAGAGAAAGGUCUGUUUACAGCAGUAGCCCUGGAGGAGAGGAGAGAAAGGUCUGUUUACAGCAGUAGCCCUGGAGGAGAGGAGAGAAAGGUCUGUUUACAGCAGUAGCCCUGGAGGAGGAGAGGAGAGAAAGGUCUGUUUACAGCAGUAGCCCUGGAGGAGAGGAGAGGAGAGAAAGGUCUGUUUACAGCAGUAG